rnacentral:rRNA from 1 species
UUUCUUCCCUAUCAACUUUCGAUGUUUGGGUAGUGGCCAAACAUGGUUGCAACGGGUAACGGAGGGUUAGGGCUUGACCCCGGAGAAGGAGCCUGAGAAACGGCUACUACAUCCAGGAAGGCAGCAGGCGCGCAAAUUACCCAAUCCCGAUACGGGGAGGUAGUGACAAUAAAUACUGAUACAGGGCUCUUUUGGGUCUUGUAAUUGGAAUGAGUACAAUUUAAAUCCCUUAACGAGGAACAAUUAGAGGGCAAGUCUGGUGCCAGCAGCCGCGGUAAUUCCAGCUCUAAUAGCGUAUAUAAAAGUUGUUGUGGUUAAAAAGCUCGUAGUUGAACCUUGGGCCUGGCUGGCGGGUCCGCCUCACCGCGUGUACUUCGCCGGCCGGGCCUUUCCCUCUGUGGAACCCUAUGCCCUUUACUGGGUGUAGCGGGGAAACAGGACUUUUACUUUGAAAAAAUUAGAGUGCUCUAAGCAGGCCUAUGCUCGAAUACAUUAGCAUGGAAUAAUAAAAUAGGACGUGUGGUUCUAUUUUGUUGGUUUCUAGGACCGCCGUAAUGAUUAAUAGGGACAGUCGGGGGCAUCAGUAUUCAAUUGUCAGAGGUGAAAUUCUUGGAUUUAUUGAAGACUAACUACUGCGAAAGCAUUUGCCAAGGAUGUUUUCAUUAAUCAGGAACGAAAGUUAGGGGAUCGAAGACGAUCAGAUACCGUCGUAGUCUUAACCAUAAACUAUGCCGACUAGGGAUCAGACGAUGUUAUUACUUGACUCGUUUGGCACCUUACGAGAAAUCAAAGUGCUUGGGCUCCAGGGGGAGUAUGGUCGCAAGGCUGAAACUUAA